rnacentral:sRNA from 1 species
AAUAUUAACAAACUAACUGAAAGAUAAACUGAAAGAUAAAAGAUUUAAUAUUUCUAACACUCCCCCUCAAGCUGGAGCAUACAAAUUGUAUGAACCAAGCUUGAAAUAACUAAACUAGGUUUUCAACUUCAAAAAUGUACGAAGGAGAGCAGCAGAGAAGGAGAGCAGCAGAGAAGGAGAGCAGCAGAGAAGGAGAGCAGCAGAGAAGGAGAGCAGCAGAGAAGGAGAGCAGCAGAGAAGGAGAACAGCAAUACAGAGGCGAAACC